rnacentral:misc_RNA from 1 species
GAUGAAGAACGUAGCGAAAUGCGAAAAGUAAUGUGAAUUGCAGAAUUCAGUGAAUCAUCGAAUCUUUGAACGCACAUUGCGCCCGCCAGUAUUCUGGCGGGCAUGCCUGUCUGAGCGUCAUUUCAACCCUCAUGUCCCUAGGGCGUGGUGUUGGGGAUCGGCCAGCGCCCGCGAGGGACGGCCGGCCCCUAAAUCUAGUGGCGGACCCGUCGUGGCCUCCCCUGCGAAGUAGUGAUAUUCCGCAUAGGAGAGCGACGAGCCCCUGCCGUUAAACCCCCAACUUUCUAAGGUUGACCUCAGAUCAGGUAGGAAUACCCGCUGAACUUAAGCAUAUCAAUAAGCGGAGGA